UCGUAACAAGGUUUCCGUAGGUGAACCUGCGGAAGGAUCAUUGUCGAACCCUCGCGGUAGAAUGACUUGCCAACCUGUACCAAUUAUUGAUUCGAGUGUCGGGGUGCUGUCUUUCUGAUUUGCCCAGACGAACAAAAACACCGGCGCAGCAGCGCCAUGGAAUAUAAUAAUGAGUGUGCAACCUUGCAGAGCUCAAUUAUGUUGCCUGUGAGCUCCGCAUCCUUUUAAUAAAAAUGACUCUCGGCAAUGGAUAUCUCGGCUCUUGCAUCGAUGAAGAACGUAGCGAAAUGCGAUACUUGGUGUGAAUUGCAGAAUCCCGUGAACCAUCGAAACUUUGAACGCAAGUUGCGCCUCAAGCCAUUGGGUUGAGGGCACGUCUGCUUGGGUGUCAUGCACUAUAUCUCCCCUCUCGUGUGUGGAGUGGGAAUAGAUCCUGGCCUCCUGGGCCCUUCCUUGGGCGUGGUUGGCCGAAAAUGUUGUCCUUGAUUUUGUUGAUGUCUUGGUGAGCGGUGAUGUGCCAGGGGUGCAUAGUUGCCAGCCUUGCUCGACUUCAUUGUGGCGUUGGGAUCCUAUGAAGCUGCCGUUUUUUGCUCUUUGAUUGCGACCCCAAGUCAGGCGAGACUACCCGCUGAGUUUAAGCAUAUCAAUAAGCGGAGGAAA
rnacentral:rRNA from 1 species